rnacentral:misc_RNA from 1 species
GAUGAAGAACGUAGCGAAAUGCGAUACGUAAUGUGAAUUGCAGAAUUCAGUGAAUCAUCGAAUCUUUGAACGCAUAUUGCGCUCUCUGGUAUUCCGGCGAGCAUGCUUGUUUGAGUAUCAGUAAACACCUCAACUUCCAUAUCUUUUUUGAAAUGGGAGUUGGACUUGAGUGAUCCCAACGCUUUUCCUCACCGAAAAGUGGCGGGUUACUUGAAAUGCAGGUGCAGCUGGACUUUUCUCUGAGCUAUAAGCAUAUCUAUUUAGUCUGCCUAAAAAACAGAUUAUUACCUUUGCUGCAGCUAACAUAAAGGAGAUUAGUUCUUGUGCUGACUGAUGCAGGAUUCACAAAGACAGGCUUCGGCCGACUUUGUAAACUCGAUCUCAAAUCAAGUAAGACUACCCGCUGAACUUAAGCAUAUCAAUAAGCGGAGGA